rnacentral:lncRNA from 1 species
CAUAGGUAGAAGGUUUGAGGGGAAAAUGCAGGGGGAGGAAGAAGAGAAGAGACCUGAUCCUACCACAGCUUAAGGCAUGGGUUAACAUCUAAGUGCUCCCUCUUUGCUGCAGGCACAAGUUAAACUUUG